UACGUAGGGGGCAAGCGUUGUCCGGAAUCAUUGGGCGUAAAGCGCGCGUAGGCGGCCCGGUAAGUCCGCUGUAAAAAGUCCAGGGCUCAACCCUGGAAAGCCGGUGGAUACUGUCGGGCUAGAGUCCGGAAGAGGCGAGUGGAAUUCCCGGUGUAGCGGUGAAAUGCGUAGAGAUCGGGAGGAACAUCAGUGGCGAAGGCGGCCAUCUGGGACAACACUGGACGCUGAAGCACGGAAAGCGUGGGGAGCAAACAGG
rnacentral:rRNA from 1 species